UACGGAGGGUGCAAGCGUUAAUCGGAAUUACUGGGCGUAAAGCGCACGCAGGUGGCUGAGUCAGUCGAUUGUGAAAGCCCUGGGCUUAACCUGGGAAUUGCAGUCGAUACUACUCAGCUAGAGUAUGGGAGAGGGCAGUGGAAUUCCCGGUGUAGCGGUGAAAUGCGUAGAUAUCGGGAAGAACACCUAUGGCGAAGGCAGCUCUCUGGGACGGUACUGACGCUGAGACGCGAAAGCGUGGGGAGCGAACAGG
rnacentral:rRNA from 1 species